rnacentral:rRNA from 1 species
ACCCUAAACGGCCGCGGCACAAAAACCGUGCAAAGGUAGCACAAUCACUUGUCCCUUAAAUGAGGACCCGUAUGAAAGGCAACAUGAGAGAAAGCCUGUCUCCUAUGGUUGGCCAGCGAAACUGAUCUAUCAGUACAAAAGCUGAUAUUUUAAAGCAAGACAAAAAGACCCUAUGGAACUUUAACAAAUUACUUACACAAAUAAGCAAUAGUUUCAGUUGGGAUAACUUUAGAAAAAAUAAACUUCUAAGACUAACAAGUCGAUCCAGUACCACUGAUCAACGAAACAAGCUACCCUAGGGAUAACAGCGCCACCUUCUCAAAGAGUCCAUAUCAACAAGAAGAUCUACGACCUCGAUGUUGGAUCAGGGUACCCAGACGGUGCAGCAGCUGUCAACGGUUCGUUUGUUCAACGACUAACACCCU